rnacentral:lncRNA from 1 species
GCCUAGAGUCCGAGGCGUGGGCAGGGAGCUGGCCCCCGUCCAUUGCUGCAGCUCCGCAGCAGCAGGACAGCCCUGGGAGGUGGAGACGGACUCCGUUCAUUUGGAUAAGCAGAGGAAAUUUGGCAGAAACGACCAAAUGCAAACUACGUGUAGCAGCCUGAGACCGGCCGUCUACUGAAACAAAGGAUGCAGUUCAGUCGGAAACCACGCUUAGCAGUGUAGCUGUCUUUAGCCAUCCAGGCCCUGAGAACCAAUGAACAACCCAGCUUGGCCGCUUAGAACAUUUUUUCUGUACUUGAGUUAAAUAGAUAUCCAAGAACCAUUACUCAUUUUUAAUGUGGAGAAGUCGGUAUUCUAUUCUCGUGUUCUAUGUUUUUUAAAGCGGCAAUUUGAAUUAUUUCGUGCGAUAGAAAACCUUAAACACAAAGUAACGUUUCUAACAAAAGGGCUGUCGAUCAAGUGACAAACACGUCCUACUUUUAGAUACGAGCACGACUGAGGCAACGGCAUGAAAACGCCUAAAGUGGGCUGCUGGGGAGACAAGAUCUGGCCGCGAAUGGAACUCGCGGCAGCUCAUUAACGGGACCGUCCAGCAGGAAGGUGGGUUGGCAGCCUUCUCCCAGGGCUCCCCACGAUCCCUACCCCUGGUGUGGUGUGGCCUUCCUCCUCACAUGUCGUCUGGACCAAGCAGUGUGUUGUUCUCAUCCAUAAAGAGUGAUGGGCCGGGCACCAUGGCCACACCUGUGAUCCCAGCACUGUGGGAGGCUGAGGCAGGAGGAUCUCCUGAGCCCAGGAGUUUGAGACCAGCCUGGGUAGCAUAGGGAGACCCUGUCUCUACAGAAAAAAAGUUAGCCAGGUAUUCCAGAGGCUGAGGUGGGAGGAUCGCUUGAACCCAGGAGGUGGAGACUGCAGUGAGCCGUGAUCGCACCACUGCACUCCAACCUGGGCAACAGACUGAGACCCAGUUUCUAAAACAAAUAAUAAAAAGGCAGGGUGCAGUGGCUCAUACCUGUAAUCCCAGCACGUUGGGAGGCCAAGGUGGGCGGAUCACUUGAGGUCAGGAGUUCGAGACCAGCUGGCCCACAUGGUAAAACCCCAUCUCUACUAAAAUGCAAAAAUCAACCGGGCACAGUGGCACAGGCCUGUAAUCCCAGCUCUUCAGGAGGCCGAGGCAGGAGAACUGGGAGGCGAGAUUGCAGUGAGCUGAGAUCGUGCCACUGCACUCCAUCCAGGCUGGGUGACAGAGCUAGACACCAUCUUGAAAAAAAAUAAAAAUAAAAUAAAAAGAGUGAUGAGGCAUCCUGAGAUUCAUUUAUAAAAUGCCGUGAUUCAGGUCUCAGGGCACUGUCGCCCCUACUCACUUUGAUGAAGCCAGUGCUGGGUUGCUGCCGAGGUGGGGAGGUUCAUGGGCCAGGAACUGAAGGCAGCCAUGAGAGCCAGACCCCUCCACCACCCCCAAGACAGCAGGGAACUCACUCCAACAGCCACCCUGGGAUGCUGCCACAGCUGAGCCUGGAGGUGACCGUGACCCUGGCUGACGUCGGACUGCAGCUUUGUAAGGGAGACUGAGCCGGGACCCAGACCUACAAAAGCUGAGAUGAUAAACACUGUUUUAAGCUGCUGUGUGUCGCAGUGACUCGUGUGGCAGUGGAUUUCUAGCAGAGCCGUCGUUCCUGUCUGGCUUCUGUCAGCUCAACACUCUGUAGGGCCACCCAUGCUGUCGUGCAUGCCAGCGGUGGACUUUUCAUUGCUGAGUAAUAUUUCAUUCCAUUGCAUGCUCGCACCUCGGUUUGUUGAACUGUCUACCUGUUGAUGGGCUCUGGGACAUAGGCAGUUCUGGGCUAUUAUGAGUAAAGCUGCUUUUAACAUUUAAAUACAAGUCUGUGUAUGGACACAUGUUUUCGUUUCUUUUGAAUAAAUAUGUGUGGGAUUACUGGGUUUCAAGGGGACUGUAUGUUUAAGUUGGUAAGAAGCUGCCAAUCUGCUUUCUUUUCUUUCUUUCUUUUUUUCUUUUUGAGAUGGAGUCUCACUCUGUCACCCAGGCUGGAGUGCAGUGGCGUGAUCUCGGCUCACUGUAACCUCCGCCUCCCGGGUUCAAGAGAUUCUCCUGCCUCAGC